ACUGCCCAGGUCCACCGUCAUCCUCUGACCCCUCACCAACGAUCCCUCACUGCCCAGGUCCACCGUUAUCCUCUGACCCCUCACCAACGAUCCCUCACUGCCCAGGUCCACCGUUAUCCUUUGACCUCUCACCAACGAUCCCUCACUGCCCAGGUCCACCGUUAUCCUCUGACCCUCUCACCAAUGAGCCCUCAUUGCCCAGGUCCACCAUCAUCCUCUGACCCCUCACCAACGAUCCCUCACUGCCCAGGUCCACCGUUAUCCUCUGACCCUCUCACCAAUGAGCCCUCAUUGCCCAGGUCCACCGUUAUCCUCUGACCCCUCACCAAUGAUCCCUCACUGCCCAGGUCCACCGUUAUCCUCUGACCCCUCACCAAUGAGCCCUCAUUGCCCAGGUCCACCAUCAUCCUCUGACCACUCACCAACGAUCCCUCACUGCCCAGGUCCACCAUCAUCCUCUGACCCCUCACCAACGAGCCCUCAUUGCCCAGGUCCACCGUCAUCCUCUGACCCCUCACCAACGAGCCCUCACUGCCCAGGUCCACCGUCAUCCUCUGACCCCUCACCAACGAUCCCUCACUGCCCAGGUCCACCGUUAUCCUCUGACCCCUCACCAACGAGCCCUCAUUGCCCAUGUCCACCGUCAUCCUCUGACCCCCUCACCAACGAUCCCUCACUGCCCAG
rnacentral:lncRNA from 1 species